rnacentral:rRNA from 1 species
UACGGAGGGGGCUAGCGUUGUUCGGAAUUACUGGGCGUAAAGCGCGCGUAGGCGGACCUGCAAGUCGGGGGUGAAAGCCCGAGGCUCAACCUCGGAACUGCCUUCGAUACUGCGGGUCUCGAGUCCGGGAGAGGUGAGUUGGAAUUCCUAGUGUAGAGGUGAAAUUCGUAGAUAUUAGGAAGAACACCAGUGGCGAAGGCGGCUCACUGGCCCGGUACUGACGCUGAGGCGCGAAAGCGUGGGGAGCAACAG